UACAGAGGUCUCAAGCGUUGUUCGGAUUCAUUGGGCGUAAAGAGCGCGUAGGCGGCUCGGUAAGCCGGAUGUGAAACCUCCAAGCUCAACUUGGAGCGGCCAUUCGGAACUGCUGUGGCUAGAGUCUGGUAGGGGAACACGGAAUUCCUGGUGUAGCGGUGAAAUGCUUAGAUAUCAGGAGGAACACCAGUGGCGAAGGCGGUGUUCUGGGCCAGUACUGACGCUGAGGCGCGAAAGCGUGGGGAGCAAACAGG
rnacentral:rRNA from 1 species